GCGACACUAUGUGUUGUUGGGUAGGGGAGCGUUCUGUAAGCCUGCGAAGGUGACCUGUGAGGGUUGCUGGAGGUAUCAGAAGUGCGAAUGCUGACAUAAGUAACGAUAAAGCGGGUGAAAAGCCCGCUCGCCGGAAGACCAAGGGUUCCUGUCCAACGUUAAUCGGGGCAGGGUGAGUCGACCCCUAAGGCGAGGCCGAAAGGCGUAGUCGAUGGGAAACAGGUUAAUAUUCCUGUACUUGGUGUUACUGCGAAGGGGGGACGGAGAAGGCUAUGUUAGCCGGGCGACGGUUGUCCCGGUUUAAGCAUGUAGGCUGGUUAUCCAGGCAAAUCCGGAUAAUCAAGGCUGAGGUGUGAUGACG
rnacentral:rRNA from 1 species